AGUGAACGCUGGCGGCGUGCCUAAUACAUGCAAGUCGAACGGAGUGGCGCACGGGUGUGUAAUGUAUAGCUAAUCUGCCCUACACUAGAGGACAACAGUUGGAAACGGCUGCUAAUACUCUAUAGUGUAGGUUGAGGCUAUAUUGUAUCAGCUAGUUGGUGAGGUAAUGGCGCACCAAGGCUAUGACGCAUAACUGGUCUGAGGGGAUGAUCAGUCACACUGGAACUGAGACACGGUCCAGACUCCUACGGGAGGGAGCAGUAGGGAAUAUUGCUCAAUGGGGGAAACCCUGAAGCAGCAACGGCGCGUGGAGGAUGACACUUUUCAGAGCGUAAACUCCUUUUGUUAGGGAAGCGGUACCUAACGAAUAAGCACCGGCUAACUCCGUGCCAGCAGCCGCGGUAAUUC
rnacentral:rRNA from 1 species